AUUGAACGCUGGCGGCAGGCUUAACACAUGCAAGUCGAGCGGAGCGAGGGUGCUUGCACCUUAGCUUAGCGGCGGACGGGUGAGUAAUGCUUAGGAAUCUGCCUAUUAGUGGGGGACAACAUUCCGAAAGGAAUGCUAAUACCGCAUACGCCCUACGGGGGAAAGCAGGGGAUCUUCGGACCUUGCGCUAAUAGAUGAGCCUAAGUCGGAUUAGCUGGUUGGUGGGGUAAAGGCCUACCAAGGCGACGAUCUGUAGCGGGUCUGAGAGGAUGAUCCGCCACACUGGGACUGAGACACGGCCCAGACUCCGACGGGAGGCAGCAGUGGGGAAUAUGGGACAAUGGGCGGAAGCCUGAUCCAGCCAUGCCGCGUGUGGGAAGAAGGCCUUUUGGUUGUAAAGCACUUUAAGCGAGGAGGAGGCUACUUAGAUUAAUACUCUGGGAUAGUGGACGUUACUCGCAGAAUAAGCACCGGCUAACUCUGUGCCAGCCGCCGCGGUAAGAC
rnacentral:rRNA from 1 species